CUUCGGGUUGUAAAGCUCUGUCGUCCGGGACGAAAAGCUUUAGGGUGAAUAGCCCUGGAGUGUGACGGUACCGGAAAAGGAAGCACCGGCUAACUCCGUGCCAGCAGCCGCGGUAAUACGGAGGGUGCAAGCGUUGCUCGGAAUUAUUGGGCGUAAAGGGCAGGUAGGUGGUCUUAUUUGUCCGGGGUGAAAUCCUUGAGCUUAACUCAAGAAGUGCCCCGGAGACGGUGAGACUAGAGUUCUGGAGAGGGUCGUGGAAUUCCCGGUGUAGCGGUGAAAUGCGUAGAGAUCGGGAGGAACACCAGAGGCGAAAGCGGCGACCUGGACAGUGACUGACACUCAACUGCGAAAGCGUGGGGAGCAAACAGGAUUAGAUACCCUGGUAGUCCACGCUGUAAACGAUGGGUACUAGGUUUGGCGGGUCUUGACCCCUGCUGAAUCGGCGCUAACGCACUAAGUACCCCGCCUGGGAAGUACGGUCGCAAGACUAAAACUCAAAGGAAUUGACGGGGGCCCGCACAAGCGGUGGAUCAUGUGGUUUAAUUCGAAGCAACGCGAAGAACCUUACCUGGGUUUGACAUCCUCUGACAGCCGUAGAGAUACGGUUUUGGUAGCAAUACCACAGAGAGACAGGUGCUGCAUGGCUGUCGUCAGCUCGUGGGGUGACCUGUUGGGUUAAGUCCCGCAACGAGCGCAACCCUUGUCCUUAGUUGCCAGCAUUUAGUUGGGCCCUCUAAGGAGACUGCCGUGGUUAACACGGAGGAAGGUGGGGAUGACGUCAAGUCCUCAUGGCCUUUAUAUCCAGGGCGACACACGUGAUACAAUGGUCGGUACAAAGGGAUGCCAAGCGGUAACGCGGAGCUAAUCUCAAAAAGCCGAUCUCAGUUCGGAUUGGAGUCUGCAACUCGACUUCAUGAAGUUGGAAUCGCUAGUAAUCGCGGAUCAGCACGCCGCGGUGAAUACGUUCCCGGGCCUUGUACACACCGCCCGUCACACCAUGGGAGCUGACUCAACCAGAAGACGGUCAGGCUAACCGUAAGGGAGCCUCCGGCGAAGGUGGGGUUGGUGACUGGGGUGAAGUCGUAACAAGGUAGCCGU
rnacentral:rRNA from 1 species